rnacentral:rRNA from 1 species
UCUCAUUUGUCUAACCUUUGAAGCUAAGCAGGAUUGGGCCUGCUCAGUACUUAGAUUGGAGACCAUUGGGAAAAUCAGGGCCAUAGUGGGGC